rnacentral:piRNA from 1 species
UUGCACAACAGCCGCCUUUAACUCUUU